rnacentral:lncRNA from 1 species
UCGUAAUUUUUAAAAUCCUUAAAUCAAAAGUAUUCAUGGUGCCAUGUUUAUUUUUUUUGUACUCUGUACAAUCGUUGAAAGCUAUGUAUGCUUGAAAAUGUUACGCACAUUAUAUAUGCUAUUUUCAAGUAUUACCCACGCUAUUUUCAAGUUUUGAAAUAGUUGUUAUGGGAUAUCACGGUCGAUUAAGUCUUUCAAUUAUCCCCUCAACCAACGCAAGAUUUCAAGUCUAGUGAUCUGACUGGCUGGUCUUUAGAGAAAAGCGUCAUCUCACGAUAUUUUUUUUUUGAAUUUUUUAAUUACAUUUCUUUUAAAUAUUAUUUUUUAUUAUUCCACAAUCCAGUUUUCAUGAAAUUCUACUGCUCAGUAUUUUGUAAUAACUGAUAAAAAAAAGCGAACUUUGUCAUUUAUACUUACAGAUUAAAACUGACUAAUGCGGGUAUCUAUUACCCAUUCCUUAUUAUAGACUAAAAACGGUUUCUUAAUUAUCAACACGCUAUACUAAUCCAUUACUAACCCAUUGAUGCUAAUCUAUUACUUUCCCUUUGAUGCCAGGCCGCAAAUGCAGAAAUGAUGUAAAAAGAGCAGUCAUUGAGAAAAAAGUAGUACAUCCCAGAAAGCAUGUAACCUUACAGUAACCUUGUGUCAGAAUGCUCUUAUCAUUGUCAAGAAAAAGUUUGCGCUAAAAACCUUUUUUCAGUACAGCAAAAUGAUUGGUUGCAGUUUCAAACCUUUCAUCCUAAAAGGGUUAAAAAAUAUUUUUAAAAAGUAUUGUCACUUAGGAAAAAUGGUCACUUAGGUCCAUAAUGACGUUUUAGCUGACGUCACACUAACGAUAGGAUCAAAUUGGAUUGUCCAUUAAACUUUCAUGACAAGGUGGAUUUUAGCUGAGCAUACAAGACGUUGCCAAAAGACGCCUUAUAAUUAUCAAGAUUUAAGAUUAUUUUCUCCUUAAGAUAAGCUUUAUUCAAGGAUUUUUUUCACGCUUGAAAACCCUAAGACAACCUCGAUUUAAGGUUUUUAUAUAGAAGGUUAUUUUCCAAGGUUUUGGAUUAGGGUAAUGUGCGUAGCAUAGAGCAGAUUGUCACAGAUCUCGUUUCAAGAUUUGAAGGUUUACACGCAAACCUCAGAAAAACCUUUUUAGGUUCACAGUAAAAGGUUUUUGCUGAGUGAAAAUAAAACUUAUUUUGCUAUCUGGGAUAUUUAUUACGACCAAGUGGAUAUUUCUCACUGUUAUCUAUUGUUUUAAGAUCUGAAGAAAGCACAAUAUUGUCAUUAAACCCAAACAUAAAUUUGUUAUGGUAGACAAACAUACUUGUUUGGUCUAAAUAAAUACUGAUAAUGAAAUACUUGUAUCGUCCCUUUCUGCUUUUUUGAAAAAAAUGAAUCCUUAGGUAGAAAAAAGUCUAAGAUGGUGGUCAGAAACUACAUUAUCUUUUUCACCACAAACAUGUUAUUAUUUCAGUUUAAAGAGUUAUAUAUCUGUAAGUCAGAGGAUUGCACCAUCUCCAUUUAUUUAUAAAGUUUAGUUGAUACCGUGUCCAUGUUGUAGAUUCGUCAUUCUCUCUCGUGGUACGGGACACUUUGUUCUGUCAUGAUGAAUGACGAAAAAAAAAAUGCCAAACUCGAAAGGUAAAAAUAGUCUAAGAUCUGCUUCCAUUAAAAGUUGCAUUUUUGGAACAUGGUGCCCUUUACCGAAUAUGCAGUCAACUUUCAGCAUUUUUGAUUUUCCUCACAGUUUUUUUUUAAUUUAACAAUUGUAAAAGCAGUUUUUCUUUUUCAAAGUAUUUCUCUAAAAAAGAAAUUUUAUAAUUAGGUAAAAUUCAAUACAUUGUUUGUGAUGAUGAAAAGAAAGUUAGAAUCUUGUUGGACAAAAAAGAUGAUACACCAAGUUUAGAGGUCAUAAUAUGUACUGCCGAAUUGAGCGAUGAAGUCAAAUUUCUUGGAGAAGAGAAGCACGUCAGCAUUCAUUCAUUUGAAAGUGUUUUGGAUCUAGGAAAAAAGAAUCCUCAUCCAAUAAAA